rnacentral:rRNA from 1 species
UACGUAGGGUGCGAGCGUUAAUCGGAAUUACUGGGCGUAAAGUGUGCGCAGGCGGCCGCGCAAGUCGAGUGUGAAAGCCCCGAGCUUAACUUGGGAACUGCGCUCGAAACUACGUGGCUGGAGUGUGGCAGAGGGAGGUGGAAUUCCACGUGUAGCGGUGAAAUGCGUAGAGAUGUGGAGGAACACCGAUGGCGAAGGCAGCCCCCUGGGCUAACACUGACGCUCAGGCACGAAAGCGUGGGGAGCAAACAGG